rfam:Myotis brandtii contig309919, whole genome shotgun sequence.
GACGGUUCUUGGGUGACAACCCUAGAAUUGGGCUCCCUCCUCUCAGGUUCUGGGUGCAUCACCUGAGAACUGCC